UUUCUAUCCUUUUUCCAGGUGCCUGAGAAACAUGCUUGAGAAUUGAUGUUGGGCCCUAAGCAUUACAUUUUCUUCUGAGUACUAGUUUAGAUACAGUCUACUGCGGGAGAGCAGAACCUGAGCUGAAAUCUAUAUAACUUCUGUUGCAGUAUAAUGAAUCCAUCAAUAAUAAAAGAAGAAUUCAAAAGGUGUGAUGGAGAAGACUGAAAGAUUUAUUUUGGAAGUGACCAUACAGAAAUAAAC
rnacentral:lncRNA from 1 species